UUUUAAAAUAUAAGAAUUAAAAAUCAUCACUCUCUUAUUCACCAAAUAAAAACAAAUUUUAAAAUAAUAAAAAUAAAUAAUAAUCUCUCUUAUUCAUCACUGAUCAUUAAAGAACAACAAAUAGAUAUGUAUCAUCAAUACCUAUAAUCUACCACCUCAAUUCAUAAAAUCCCCAACCCAAAAAAAAAAAAUUUAAUGCUUGAAGAGAGCCAUUGCAGCCAAGACGAGCGACGACAACAUCACAGCGCCGGAGAGGCCGGACGAAUGCGCCGAUCCGGCAUCCAUUCCCGGUGCCGGUGCUGGUGCUCCAGAGAAAUCCUGAGCAGAAACGGUGGCGGAAGCGAAGAUUGCGGCCACAAUGAAGGCGACGGCGAUGGCAUUGAAUGUGAUUGCUUGAGCCAUUGUGAGAAAUCGAGAGGCUAAGAGCAAAGGAAAUUGAUUUGAUAUCGGAGAAAGGCGGAGUGAUUGAUGGAAUGAGAGGGUGGAGGUGGUGAAUUUAUAGGGGUUUGGGAGAAGGCGUGUGGGACCAGAUCAAUUGAGUAGAGCGACAGGAAGCUGCGGGUCGUGGACUUCGUCCGUGUGUAAGGUAGGCGGUUGCUGACUCUUGCCUUCAAAGAAAACUCCCCUGCUAAAUUUGAAGUUCUUAUUCUAUAAGAAAUCCAUAAAAAUAAUUGUUGAAAAUUUUAUGCAACUUUUAAAUGUAUUUAAUAGUCUUUUUUGCCCCUUAAAUUUAGGCUAAGGGAAAAAAUACAUCAAAAUAAAAAUAAAUAAAUAAAUACAUAUAUAUUUAAAAUCAAUAAAUUAUUUUUAUAUAUAUUUCUUCAAAUUUAUUUUAUUAAUUUUUCUCAAGAUUAAAUAAUUUAAAAAUAUAUAAAAUUUUAAUUAAUUGUAAUUAUAUUUAUUUUCUUAUAAUGAAAUUGAAUAUGAAUAUAAGAAAAUCACUUUUUUUUGUAAAAAAAAAAAAAAAAAAUCUACUUCAUGAUAUUUUUAGAACAGGAGUCUGAUUAAAAAUUUAAAUAUUCUCAAUUCAUUUAUUAUAUUUUCAAAAAAAAUUUAAAAAUAAUUUUUAUUUAUACUUCUUUAUUUUCAAUUAAUAUUCAAAUUUAUAUAAUUAUUCUUUGAUUUUAGGACAAUAAAUAUGUUAAAUAUGUCAAAAAAAAAUUUAUUAGAUAUGUUUUUUAGUCUGAAAAAUAACUUUUUGUUUUUACAAACAAUUGUUAAUAAUAUAAUUUCACAUGUUAUGAUUAAUAUCAUAAAAAAAUUAUUGUUAUGUUCUAUUGUAUAAAACCACAUUGAGUAUUUUUAACCAUUUUUUAUUUUACAAAAUAAAGACUUUAUAUAGAAAGUUAAAAAAAUAUAUAUCUGUGGACCCUGCAUUUCGACUCAUGCGUUUCCCACUCGAUGGCAAACUCGAUUUUAAUUUUGAAAAUUUUGAUUUUAUUGAUUAUGAAAAUGACUCGGAGUCGCCACUUAUUUUUGUUUUAUUUUUAAAAGGGUAAACAAAAUAAGAAAGAAAAACCAUAAGUGUGACUCCUUACUUUGGAAAAGGUGGUCUGUGAAAAACCGGAUCGGGUUCGAGGGUCAGGUUACUUGGAAGGUACGGUAAAAACCGUAGCACCCUUCUAAGUCCCUAAAAUGGGGUCUCUACUAAUAAAAUGAAGCAAUCAUGGCAGUGGACGAGUAGAUCAAUGAGUACCCAGAAUAAAUCAUGCACACGUGAGAAUCAAAAUAUGCUUGGACAAUUACCAGAGUGAAAGUAGGUGAGUACCUGGGCGACGAGCCACCAUGCGCUAUCAAGAGAGAGGUUAGUGCACAAUUAAGAAAUAAUAGCAUGCAUGUCGGAGAGCAGGAUAAAUAAAUCAUGUAUGAUAACCAAGUCAAUCAAUCAAAUCAAUCAAUAGAUCAUAAGAAAAUCACAUAUGUUGGGCCCCCACCAAAGCCCGAUUGAUCUUGCAUGAAUUAAUCUCACAAAUUCCAUUAUUUUGGAAUUAUGAAAAUUCAUUAUUCUUGCUUAUGUAAAACCAAGAAAAACAUAAGGUUUGAGAAUCGGAGUAGAAUUAAAAUUGUUCAAGUGAAAAUUGGAUUUUUGGAAUUUAUUUGAAAAUUGGAGCUUUGGGAAUUAAAUUUGAAAAUUGGAAUUUUGGGAAUUAAAUUUAAGAAUUGGAAUUUUGAAUAUUAAAUUAGAAAGAAAUUAGAAUUUUGGAAAUCGGAAAUUAAGUUUGGAAAUUGGAAUUUUGAAAAAAAUGUUAAAAAUAUGAAAUUUUAAAAUAAAUAAAUAAAUGGAAUAAUAAUAAUAAGGACGAAAAUAAUGAUUAAAUAAAUGAAUGGAAAUAUUGGAAUUUUUGAAAUUGAAAAUUAAAUUCGAAAGCCGGAAUUUUGAAGAAUUUGUUUAAAGAUGGAAUUUUAAAAAUAAACAAAUAAAUAAAUGAAUAAAAUGACAAUGAUUAAAUAAACUGGUGUGAAAAUUAAAAAUUGGGAAUUUAAAUUUAAAUUUAGAAGAAAUUGGAGUUUAGGAAAAUUAUUUGAAGAUUAAAGUUUUUAAAAUUAAAUUUUGGCAUCAAAAGGUGAAGAAGAUAAUAAUAGUAAUAAAUAAAUAAAAUGACAUAUGGAUUUGGGUUAGUGAAAACCGGGCCUUUUUUCAUUUAUAUGACAUGUAACAUAUGGCUUUGGGUAAGUUUGAGAGUGUGAAUGCAACUUUAAUAAAGAAUCAAAGUCAAAAAAGUGAAUAGGUAACUUUGAAGAAAACUAAUAUUUUGUAUGGGAACUUACUGUACUCUUUAAUAUAAAUUAUGCAAUCUCCUGGGGGGCACUCACAGUAGGCUUCGCUUUCACUACUGCAGACUUGACUGCAGGGGGCACCAGCACAUCAACCUUGAUGGGUUGUUCUUCAGAUUUUCAAUUGCUCUCAACCCCAUUGAUGCCGCUGUCAAGUAAUAGCUCUCUGCUACCUUGCCGAGGAGGUUCCGUUGUUGCAUCUGGAAGUGAGCUAAUAGGUACGGGACCCCAUAGACUAACACAAAAGCUGUCCCAGUCAAUAUCUCCAUCAGGCGUGGUGCAAUUCGGCAUAUGAGCACUUCCUAAUGCUCGGUCACCUUUGGUGAGGACAUUCAGAGAAGCUCCAAUACCAACAUCGACCAUAACAUCAGUGGGAGUUGCAAGCAAUGACACCAUACUAACAAUCCGAAUAUUCUUCAAAUAUGAUUUUCAUUUCAUGGAUUACGGAAGACACAAAAUCCACAGGAAGGUCAUAAAGAACCUGCUCAAAGUUAUUGACGCCUUCUCAGUGCCUUUAACUUGUUGGCUUUCAACUUGUCCAAUAGGAAACAAGGCAAUAUCCCAAAGAUUCUGAUGUAGAGACCCCCCUCAAAGAACACCCCAAUCCAGACAGCCAAACUCAAACGAGAUGCCCAACACUCAAAGAAAGAAAGAGAACAGAAACAGAGGAAAAUAGAAUGAAGAAACAGAGCAUGCGGGAGAGAGGAUGAUGCCUUUAACUCCAAAACCUAUUUUAAUGAAGAUUAAGAAGCUUUCAAAAGAAGCUAGUGGGGGAUCCUAACACAUGAAUAAGUAGCGCAACCAUCAUACGGUACACUUAGAAGAAGAACAGAGAUUCGACAAGUAACCAUGAAAAGUGAGUUUAACAUCUUAGAUGAUCAAAGCAGGUAUUCGGAUAUCAGCAAAAAAAUAUAGCAAAACGGUAAUAAUGGAGAAACUUAAGACGUAAGAAUGCUAAACCUGCGUGAAUCCUCUCAAGCAGAAAUUUUUUCCCGAGUAAAAGAGUCCUUUCCCCUUUUUCAUCUGUCUCCCCCCUCCUCCAGCUCUCACUCUCCUUUUCUAUCUUCCACAGUAAGCCACUACCGGCUCCACUAUUGCUCCACUCAGCAAGUAUGACACCUCUUACCACCAGCAUGGCCGGCCAUCUUGACUCGCUGCCUCCACCAGCUCGUCUCAUGUGUCGGGAAGGGGUCCCCCAUUUGCCUAGGGUGCUGCCAGCUGCUGGAGAUGAGAAGGCACCCUUCCAAUGUUAUAAAAUCCUUACAAAAAAACUUAAAAGUCCCCGGCUCUUGAAAGGGGGUCUACAAUAUCACUAAAAACUUCAAAAUAGUUUAUUUUUGUGUUUGAAAGUGAUAUUUUUUUAACUUACAUCUUAAGCAACUUUUAAAAAAAUUACUUUUCAAGCUUAAAAAGAAUAUUUUCACUUAUUAAAAGUCAAUAUAAUUGGGUUAAGAAAACAAUCCUCCUAAGUUAGAAUUGUAUUUCUUUAAUUUAUGUAAAACAAUUAUAACCUUAAUUCCUGCAUUACAAUAAUAAUCCUAAUUCCUUAAUUAUGCAAAUAAGACCCUAAAUUUGCAUAAAUUAUAAUGGUCAAGGAUUUUAGAACAAUAUGAUUUUUCAUGGUCACAUUAUUAAGAAGAGACAUACCUUUUAUUCGUAGAAAUUGUGUUUCUAUCCAUCAACUCUUUCACCCUUAAGUUUUUUCUUACGUGUAUUAUUGAUAUAAUAGAACGUUUAUUUUAUAGGGAGGAGAGAGGACUAGUUUCAUUGUAAAAAUAGAAGUGCACUAUCCAUCAAAGUGUUUUUAAUUUAGGAAACUAACUUCUUAAAAACUUACCUAUAGAUUUUAGAUUUAUUAUUUAUUAAACUAUAAUAUUUAAUUUGAUAUUUAAAUAAAUAUUAUAUAAUAAUAUACACAUGUGCCAUAUAAAAUUCUUACAUAUUGUACUUAAGACUUUUUUGACUUACUUGUAACUUUUAUUAAAAUAUAUAUAUAUUUUUAAAUUCUAUUUAAAAAAAAAGUGAGUUUCUACUCACUCAUGUAAAAUAAAUUCUUUUAAAAAUAAUUUAAGUUUAAUGCAUUCACUAAUCAAAUGUAAUAAGUAAGAUGAUCAAAGGUAGUAUUUAUAUUAUUAAAAAGUAGUACAUGAAUGGUUGUAUUUUUGACAAAAAAGUAUAUGAAAUACUAAUUAUUUUUAGACAUGUGCUUAAAAUUUGUAUUUUAUAAACUUGAAUUCUUAUUUUGUAGUUUUUUUUUCAUAUGGAUGUAUUUGAAUAUUGUAUCAAAAAAUUUAAAAUAAAUCUAAUUAAGAGAGUUAUAAUAUCAUAAUUAUGAAACAAAACUAAUUUAAUUAAGCAAAACACAAGAAGUGAUUAAUUGAAUUCUAAACUUUUUUCGAAAAAUACAUUUGAUUAAAUAACUAAUAGUUAAUGAAUAUAAAAAGAUAAGGCUAGAGAGAUGAAAAUUUGGUUUAGUGGUUUGGUGACUCCCAUCUACAUCCACUUCUCUUUAACCUCAUUCCAAGUAAGGGUUCCACUAUAUCGAGGUUUCAACCAAAGUCUUUAAGUUUACACUUGGAUUCAAUGGCUCAAAUGGGCACAUACAAAUCUUCUUAGAGUUCAACACCAACUUGAAGUUUCACACUCAAAUUUACUAAAAAAAUGGGAGUUUAAAGAGCAUUCAACCUAACACAAUAAAUGCUUGAAUACAUGAGAAGUUAGGAUGAAUACACAUGGGGCGCACUAAAAAUGAAUUUGCAAGUGAAAUAUUUGAUACACUAAAGAAAAAGAGAGCUUUGAGUGAGAGAAACAAGUAGGUAGAGAGAGUUUAAUGCAAAUAUAAGUUUUUUAUUUAUAAGUUUGCAACCUUAGAUACCUCAAAUAUAACUGACUAGCCUUUUUUGGUCAAGCUCCAAUUUGACUAUUUGACUAGUCGUUCAAUAAUUAAUGCACAACAGGUAAUCAUUAGUCCUUUGUAAGGUUUUAUUAGACCUUGACUGGGAAAAGGGUUGCCUUGAUCAUGAAUGCAGGCUUUCUAGAAGAGAGAGAAAGUUUUUCAUACCCUUAAUCGACCCUCAAUUGAGAAAGGUUCAAUGGAUUCCUAAUUAGUUGAACCGGUGUAGGACUUCCUUGAUCGAUUAGAUCAUUUUUGGCUUGAAACCUAUAUAUCUUUCUGAAAUCAUUUUAACACCUAGGCAACAUUUUUAGGUACCUCUAUAGGUUAAUUUGGGAUCAAUUUGCAUAAUGUUUUUGAAAACAUACUCAAAUUUUGAUAAAAUAUGAUAUUUAAAGCUUAAUUUCAAGAAAACCGAUUAUGAAAAUUAUGCAUGAAUAAGCUAAAAUCCCAAUUGAAACCAAGAUACUCAUUUUACAAUAAGUUCCUAAUCUUGAAUGACCUUUAUGAAUGAUUGACUUCUCUUUUCUUAGUUUCUUUCAAAGUAUUCGUGUCAUUUCUUUUGCUUUUCUCAAAUAAUACUUGAAACUUAACUUGAUUUAAACUAUUAACGUGCUUAACUAUGAUUUUAUAUUAUCAAGACAUACUUAAUGAGAACCCUUAAACUAACAAUAGCAACCCACAAUAUGUAACAUAAAUUAUAAUGCAAGAACAAUAAAAUAACAAGAGUUUCUUUGAUAAUAUUAAACAUCUUUUAGAAGUAUUCUUAAAAAUAGUUUUAUUUAUUUUAAGAAUGAAACUUUGUUUUACAACUAUACUGUAAAAAACAUUCCAAAAUUUAUGUAUAAUUUUAUUUUAUUUAAAAUAAUCUACAUUGUCUUGAAAAAUUAUUUUCACUUCAAAACUUGUUAAACAUGUUUUUGAAUUUAAAAAGCGAUUUUAUGUUCUAAAAAACUGUUUUUAAAAAAUAGUUUCAAAACGAGUCAAAGGCUUGUUUAACAAUACUUUUUCCUAAGUGGAUCAUUUAUGUAAAAUGGCAAAAUAUUAUGUUUUACAUGUCACAAAUUUAUUGAGUAUAAGUAUUGGAACCUAAACCAAUAAUAUUUCCAUUCAAGUAUAAUUUGCUUGCUUUAUUUUAAGAGUAAUUUGAUAUUACAUAAGUUUUCUUAAAUAUGAAAAAAUAGCUUUUUCUAUGAGUUAAAAUGAAGUUAUUUUAUAAAUAUUUGACUUUUAUAUUAAGUUGUUUGAAGUAAUAGAUUGAAAAAAAAAAAAGUUAAAACAAUAGUGUCCUAAGCAAUUUGGACGAGUUGACCUAACUCAACUGAUAUUUUGAUGGGUUUGAACAAAUAUUUUUAAUACUCAAAUUAAACUUAAUUAAGUUUUCUCAACUCAAGUUCAAUUUGGGUUAGACUUGAGUUAAGGUCGAAAUAACUCAAGUCUAAUCCAAACCCCAUUUAAUGUUUUUAUAAUGUUUAUGUCAUACAUAAUAACAUUCAUUUUAUUUUUAAUUUUUUUAAAAUAUCAAAUUCUAAUUAUAUUAUAUACUUUUUCAUUUUUAGAAAGAUAUAUAAUUUUAUUUUUAUUUUUUUAUUAUUAUCUUGAAUUUUCCUCUUAUUUACUAUUUAAAUUUUAGUAUAAAUAUAUAAGUUUUGUUUUUUCUUUCAAACAUAAAUUUGUUUUUGAAAAUAGUUGUCAAACCGACUUUCUAUUUUCAUUUUUUUAAAAUAAUAAAGCAAAAACAAAAUUAUGUUUUCGUUUUCAAAAAGCACCUUGGGUAUAAAUAUAAAAGGGUAUAACAUUCCUUAUUCUUCUUCGUUAACUAAUAUUUGGUUUUAGAAUCCUUAUUCUUAUUUGUUAACUAAUAUUUGGUCAUAGAAAAGUUCACAAUUCAUGUCAUACAACUUUCUCAAAUUGGUGAAUUUUCAAUGUAUAAUAGAUGGUGAAAUGUAAUAUGUUCUUUGACAUAUCCUCUUUGAGAUAUCGAAAGUUGGAAAUCAAUGGCAUGUUUUGAAAGUGUUUUUUAAUUUAAAAAUAUAUAUUUGGAUAUGCUUUUCGAAAAUAUGUUUUUGAAAAGAAAUAUUCGAAAAUAUGAAUAUUUUGAAAACAGAACACUAUUUUUUUCAAAAAUCAGUCAACAAAUCCAUUGUUGAUAUUCAACUAUUUAAGUUUCUAAAAUAUAAUUUUAUUCCUAUUUUUUAGGAAUUGUUUUAAGAAAAAAUUUGGUAAUUUAUUCUAAAAAUGAAUUAUUUUUCAAAAUAAGUUUAAAAUAUUUCAAAUGUUUUAAAGAAAAUACUUUGUAAAAUUAUUUAAAAGAAAAAUACUUUGUGAACACGUUUGGCCAUGAUAAGUUGAGAAAGUAGCUUUUUUUAUUUUUUACUUAAGUUUAUAUAAUUAAUUAAAAUAUUUUUAAAAUAGAGAAUUAAAAAUCAUCACUCUUUUAUUCACCAAAUAAAAACAGAAUUUAAAAUAAUAAAAAUAAAUAACAAUAUCUCUUAUUCAUGACUGAUCAUCAUAAAUAAAGAACAACAAAUAGAUAUGUCUCAUCAAUACCUAUAAUCUACCACCUCGAUUCAUAAAAUCCCAACCCAAAUGAAAAAAUUCUAAUGCUUGAAGAGAGCCAUUGCAGCCAAGACCAGCGACGACAACAUCACAGCGCCGGAGAGGCCGGACGAAUGCGCCGAUCCUGCAUCCAUUCCCGGUGCCGGUGCUGGUGCUCCAGCGAAAUCCUGAGCAGAAACGGUGGCGGAAGCGAAGAUUGCGGCCACAAUGAAGGCGACGGCGAUGGCAUUGAAUGUGAUUGCUUGAGCCAUUGUGAGAAAUCGAGAGGCUAAGAGCAAAGGAAAUUGAUUUGAAAUCGGAGAAAGGCGGAGUGAUUGAUGGAAUGAGAGGGUGGAGGUGGUGAAUUUAUAGGGGUUUGGGAGAAGGCGUGUGGGACCAGAUCAAUUGAGUAGAGCGACAGGAAGCUGCGGGUCGUGGACUUCGUCCGUGUGUAAGGUAGGCGGUUGCUGGCUCUUGCCUUCAAAGAAAACUCACCUGCUAAAUUUGAAAUUCUUAUUCUAUAAGAAAUCCAUAAAAAUAAUUGUUGAAAAUUUUAUGCAACUUUUAAUAGUCUUCUUUCCCCACCCCCGCCCCGCCACCACCGCGGGGAAAAAAUACAUCAAAAGAAUAAAUAAAUAAAUAUUUAAAAUUAAUAAAUUAUAUAUAUAUAUAUAUAUAUAUAUAUAUAUAUAUAUAUAUAUAUAUAUAUAUAUAUAUAUAUUUCUUUAAAUUUAUUUUAUUAAUUUUAUUUAGAAGAUUAAAUAAUUUAAAAACAUAUAAAUUUUUAAUGAAUUGUAAUUAUAUUUGUUUUCUUCAUAUUUCUUAUAAUGAAAUUGAAUAUGAAUAUAAGAAAUCAUUUUUUGUAAAAAAGAAAAAUUUCUACUUAGUGAUAUUUUUAGAAAUUAAAAAUAUGAAUAUUCUCAAUCCAUUUUUUAUAUUUUCAAAACAAAAAAUAUUCAUACUUAUUUAUUUUCAAUUAUUAUUCAAAUUUAUAUAAUUAAUCUUUGAUUUCAGGACAAUAAAUAUGUUAAAUAUGUCAAAAAAAUUAUUAAAUAUGUUUUUGAGUUUGAAAAAUAACUUUUUGUUUUUACAAACAAUUGUGAAACAAACUCUAGAUUUUCAUUUAAUAAUAUAAUUUCACGAGUUAUAAUUAAUAUUAUAAAAAAAUUAUUGUUAUGUUUUAUUGUAUAAAACCAUAUUGAGUAUUUUUAACCAUCAUUUUAUUUUACAUAAAAAACUUCAAAAUAUUUUAUUUUUAUGUGUUGAAAGUGAUAUUUUUUUUAACUUACAUUUUAAGCAACUUUUAAAUUAAAAGUUUCUUUUAAUAAAAUUACUUUUCAAGCAUAAAAGGAAAAUUUUCACUUAUUAAAAGUCAAUAUAAAUGGGUUAAGAAAACAAUCCUCCUAAGUUAGAAUUGUCGUGUUAGGAUUUCUUUACUUUAUGCUAAACAAUUAUAACCUUAAUUCCUACAUAACAAUCAUAACCCUAAUUCCUUAAUCAUGCAAAUAAAACCCUAAUUUUGCAUAAAUUAUAAUGGUCAAGGAUUUUAGAACAAUAUGAUUUUUCACAAUCACAUUAUUAAGAAAAGACAUACCUUUUAAUUCGUAGAAACUGUGUUUUUGUCCCUCAACUGUUUCACCCUUAAGUUUUCUCUUGUGCGUAUUAUUGAUGAAAUAGAAAGUUUAUUUUAUAGGGUGGAGAGAGGACUAAUUUCAUUGUAGAAAUAGAAGUGCACUUUCCAUCAAAGUGCUUUUAAUUUAGGAAACUAACUUCUUAAAAAUUGACCUAUAGAUUUUAGAUUUAUUAUUUAUUAAAUUAUAAUAUUUAAUUUGAUAUUUAAAUAAAUAUCAUAUAAUAAUAUACACAUGUGUCAUAUAAAAUUCUUACAUAUCGUACUUAAAACUGUUUUGACUUGUAACUUUUAUUAAAAUAUAUAUAUAUAUAUAUAUAUAUAUAUAUAUAUAUAUUUAAAUUCUAUUAAAAAAUGAGUUUCUACACAUUCAUGUAAAACUAAUUACAAAAUAAAAAUCUUUUAAAAAUAAUUUAAGUUUAAUGCAUUCACUAUCAAAUGUAAUACAUAAGAUGAUCAAAUGUAGUAUUUAUAUUAUUAAAAAAUAGUACAUGAAUGGUUGUAUCUUUGACAAAAAAAAGUACAUAAAAUACUAAUAUUUUUAAAUCGGUGCUUAAAAUUUGUAUUUUAUAAACUUGAGUUCCUAUUUUGUAGUUUUUUUUUCAUAUGGAUGUAUUUGAAUAUUGUAUCAAAAAAUUUAAAAUAAAUCCAAUUAUAUACCAUUUAAGAGAGUUAUAAUAUCAUAAUUAUGAAACAAAACUAAUUUAAUUAAGCAAAACACAAUAAGUGAUUAAUUGAAUUCUAAACCUUUUUCGAAAAAUACAUUUGAUUAAACAACUAAUAGUUCAAUGAAUAUAAAGAGAUAAGGCCGUAGAGAUGAAAAUUUGGUUUAGUGGUUUGGUAACUCCCAUCUAUAUCCACUACUCCUUAACCUCAUUCCAAGUAAGGGUUCCACUAUAUCAAGGUUUCCACUAAACUCUUUAAGUUUACACUUGGAUUCAAUGGCUCAAAUGGGCACAUACAAAUCUUCUUAAAGUUCAACACCAACUUGAAGUUUCACACUCAAAUUUACUAAAAAAAAAAUGGGGGUUUAAAGUGCAUUUGACAUAACACAAUAAAUGUUUGAAUACAUGAGAAGUUAGGAUAAAUACACAUGGGGUGCACUAAAAAUGAAUUUGCAAGUGAAAAAUUUUGAUGCACUAAAGAAAAAGAGAGCUUUGACUGAGAGAAACAAGUAGGUAGAGAGAGUUUAAUGCAAAUAUAAGCUUUUUAUUUAUAAGUUUUCAACCUUAGAUACCUCAAAUAUCACCUACUACCUUUAUCGGUCAAGCUCCAAUUUGACUAGUUGACUAGUCAUUUGAUAAUUAAUACACAAUAGGUAAUCAUUAAUCUUUUGUAGGGUUUGACUAGACCUUAAUGGGGAAAGUGGUUGCCUUGAUAAAAAAAUGCAGACUUUUUGGAAGAGAAAGAAAGUUUUCUCAUACCCUUAAUCGAUCCUCAAUUGAGAAAGGUUCAAUGGAUUCCUAAUUAGUUGAACCGGUUUAGGACCCCCUUAAUAGAUUAGAUCAUUUUUGGCUUUAAACCUAUAUAUCUUUAUGAAAUCUUUUUAACAUCUAGGCAACAUUUUUAGGUACCUCUAUAGGUUAAUUUGGGAUCAAUUUGCGUAAGGUUUUUGAAAAUAUACUCGAAUUUUAAUAAAAUAUGAUAUUUAAAGUUUAAUUUCAAGAAAACCGAUUAUGAAAAUUAUGCAUGAAUAAGCUAAAAUCCCAAUUGCACCUAAGAUAUUCAUUUUACAAUAAGUUCCUAAUCUUGAAUGACCUUUAUGCAUGAUUGACUUCUCUUUUCUUAGAUUCUUUUAAAGUAUUCGUGUCAUUUCUUUUGUUUUUCUCAAAUAAUACUUCAAACUUAACUUGAUUUAAACUAUUAACGUACUUAACUAUGAUUUUUUAUUAUCAAAACAUACUUAAAGAGAACCCUUAAACUAACAAUAGCAACCCACAAUAUGUAACAUAAAUUAUAAUGCAAGAACAAUAAAAUAACAAGAGUUUCUUUGAUAAUAUUAAACAUCUUUUAGAAGUAUUCUUAAAAAUAGUUUUAUUUAUUUUAAGAAUGAAAUUUUGUUUUACAACUAAACUAUAAAAAAAAUUCCAAAAUUUAUGUAUAAUUUUAUUUUAUUUUAAAUAAUCUACAUUGUCUUGAAAAAUUAUUUUCACUUCAAAACUUGUUAAACAUGUUUUUGAAUUUAAAAAGCGAUUUUAUGUCCUAAAAAAAUGUUUUUUAAAAAAAGUUUCAAAACAAGUCAAAGGCUUGUUUAACAACACUUUUUCCUAAGUGGAUCAUUUAUGUAAAAUGGCAAAAUAUUAUGUUUUACGUGUCACAAAAUUAUUGAGUAUAAGUAUUGGAACCUAAACCAAUAAUAUUUCCAUUCAAGUAUAAUUUGCUUGCUUUAUUUUAAGAGUAAUUUGAUAUUACAAAAGUUUUCUUAAAUAUGAAAAAAAUAGCUUUUUCUAUGAGUUAAAAUGAAGUUAUUUUAGAAACAUUUGACUUUUAUAUUAAGUUGUUUGAAGUAAUAGAUUGAAAAAAAAAAAAGAAGUUAAAAAGGUAGUGUCCUGUGCAAUUUGGAUGGGUUGACCUAACUCAACUUGAUAUUUGGAUGAGUUUGGAUAAAUAUUUUUAAUACUCGGAUUGAACUUAAUUAAGUUUUCUCAACUCAAGUUCAAUUUGGGUUAGACUUAAGUUAAGGUCCGAUUAACUCAAGUCUAAUCCAAACCCUAUUUAAUGUUUUUAUAAUGUUUAUAUUAUACAUAACAAUAUUCGUUUUAUAUACUUUUUAUAUAUUUUUUAAAUAUCAAAUUCUAAUUAUAUUAUAUACUUUUUCAUUUUUAGAAAGAUAUAUAAUUUUAUUUUUUACUUUUUAUUAUUAUCUUGAAUUUUCCCGUAUUUACUAUUUAAAUUUUAGUAUAAAUAUAUGAUUUUGUUUUUUUUUCAAACAUAAAUUUGUUUUUUAAAAUAGUUGCCAAACGGAAUUUCUAUUUUCAUUUUUUUAGAAAAUAAUAAAGCAAAAACAAAACUAUGUUUUCGUUUUCAAAAAGCACCUUGGGUAUAAACAUAAAAGGGUAUAACAUUCCUUAUUCUUCUUCGUUAAUUAACAUUUGGUAUUAGAAUCCUUAUUCUUAUUUGUUAACUAAUAUUUGGUCAUAGAAAAGUUUACAACAUAUCCUUUUUGAGAUCUCCAAAGUUGGAAAUCAAUGGCAUGUUUUGAAAGUGUUUUUAAAUUUAAAAAUAUAUAUUUUGAUGUUUUUCAAAAACAUGAAUAUUUUGAAAAUAGAACAUUGUUGAUAUUUAACUAUUUAAGUUUCUAAAAUAUAAUUUUAUUCCUAUUUUUUAGGAAUUGUUUUUAAAAAAUAUUUUUGGUAAUUUAUUCUAAAAAUGAAUUAUUUUUCAAAAUAAAUUUAAAAUAUUUUUGGAUGUUUUUUUUUAAAAAUACUUCCUAAAUUUUUUUUUAAAAAUACUUUGUGAACACGUUUAGCCAUGAUAAGUUGAUAAAGUAGCGCUUUUUUAUUUAUUUAAGUUUAUAUAAUUAAUUAAAAUAUUUUUUAAAUAGAGAAUUAAAAAUCAUCACUCUUUUAUUCACCAAAUAAAAACAAAAUUUAAAAUAAUAAAAAUAAAUAAUAAUCUCUCUUAUUCAUGACUGAUCAUCACAAAUAAAGAACAAUAAAUAGAUAUGUAUCAUCAAUUCCUAUAAUCUACCACCUCAAUUCAUAAAAUCCCAACCCCAAAAAAAAUUUCAAAAUCUAAUGCUUGAAGAGAGCCAUUGCAGCCAAGACCAGCGACGACAACUGUUGAAAAUUUUGGAUACAAUGGAGAAAGGAAACACUCUCACACACUCACUUUGAUACAAUAUAAGAACAAGAAGAAGAAGAACACAAGAAAGGCUCAAACAAGUUCUUGGAACUUUGUCCAAAGACUCUAUUUCCUCCCACCUCUAGAAAUCUUUUGGGAACUAAAUGGAAAUAGUCUUGGGAUUGAUCAAGCCUUUUCACUUUUCUGCAUGAGAUUUCAAAAAGAAGAAAAGUCAUAUAUAUAGCACUCUUAGGGUUGAAAAAAGGUUACAAGGAUGAGAAAAAACUCAUUGUCUUCCUCAAUCUCUUCAUCUUUGUAACAUUCAAAAUUAAAUCAUAUGUUUAAUUCACACAUUAAACAUGAUUUAAUCUCAAAAUGUGUAACUCUCUUACACUUAACCUCUUAAGUUUAUAAAGUUACAAAGAUGAGAAGACUCAUUGUCUUCCUCAACCUCUUCAUCUUUGUAACAUUCAAAAUUAAAUCAUAUGUUUAAUUCACACAUUAAACAUGAUUUAAUCUCAAAUGUGUAACUCUCUUACAACAACAUCACAGCGCCGGAGAUGCCGGACGAAUGCGCCGAUCCGGCAUCCAUUCCCGGUGCAGGUGCUGGUGCUCCAGCGAAAUCCUGAGCAGAAACGGUGGCGGAAGCGAAGAUUGCGGCCACAAUGAAGGCGACGGCGAUGCCAUUGAAUGUGAUUGCUUGAGCCAUUGUGAGAAAUCGAGAGGCUAAGAGCAAAGGAAAUUGAUUUGAAAUCGGAGAAAGGCGGAGUGAUUGGUGGAAUGAGAGGGUGGAGGUGGUGAAUUUAUAGGGGUUUGGGAGAAGGCGUGUGGGACCAGAUCAAUUGAGUAGAGCGACGGGAAGCUGCGGGUCGUGGACGCGGUCCGUGUGUAAGGUAGGCGGUUGCUGACUCUUACCUUCAAAGAAAACUCACCUGCUAAAUUUGAAAUUCUUCUUCAAUAAGAAAUCCA
rnacentral:lncRNA from 1 species